rnacentral:rRNA from 1 species
UGCGUAGGCGGUUUAUUAAGUCAGUGGUGAAAUCCUGGAGCUCAACUCCAGAACUGCCAUUGAUACUAUCUGUCUUGAAUAUUGUGGAGGUAAGCGGAAUAUGUCAUGUAGCGGUGAAAUGCUUAGAUAUGACAUAGAACACCCAUUGCGAAGGCAGCUUACUACGCAUAUAUUGACGCUGAGGCACGAAAGCGUGGGGAUCAAACAGGAUUAGAUACCCGAGUA